UUCCGGUUGAUCCUGCCGGAGGCCACUGCUAUUGGGAUCCGACUAAGCCAUGCGAGUCGAGAGGGUUCGGCCCUCGGCAGACUGCUCAGUAACACGUGGAUAACCUAACCUUAGGUGGAAGAUAACCUCGGGAAACUGAGAAUAAUAUUCCAUAGAUCUAGGAUGCUGGAAUGCAUCUAGAUUGAAAGUUCCGACGCCUAAGGAUGGGUCUGCGGACUAUCAGGUUGUAGUCAGGGUAAAGACCUGACUAGCCUACAACGGAUAUGGGUUGUGAGAGCAAUAGCCCAGAGACGAUAUCUGAGACACGAUAUCGGGCCCUACGGGGCGCAGCAGGCGCGAAAUCUUCACAAUGUGCGAAAGCACGAUGAGGGGAUCCCAAGUGCUGGCACGUAAGUGUCAGCUGUUUCUUAGUCUAAAAAACUGAGAGAGUAAGGGCUGGGUAAGACGGGUGCCAGCCGCCGCGGUAAUACCUGCAGCUCAAGUGGUGGCCGCUAUUAUUGGGCCUAAAACGUCCGUAGCCUGUUUAGUAAAUGCUUGGGUAAAUUGUGUAGCUUAACUAUACGAAUACCGGGUAGACUGCUAAACUUGGGACCGGGAGAGGCUAGAGGUACUCCUGGGGUAGAGGUGAAAUUCUGUAAUCCUAGGGGGACCACCAGUGGCGAAGGCGUCUAGCUAGAACGGGUCUGACGGUGAGGGACGAAGCCCUGGGGCGCAAACCGGAUUAGAUACCCGGGUAGUCCAGGGUGUAAACGCUGCUUGCUUGAUGUUAGUUGGGCUCCGAGCCCAACUAGUGUCGGAGAGAAGUUGUUAAGCAAGCUGCCUGGGAAGUACGGUCGCAAGACUGAAACUUAAAGGAAUUGGCGGGGGAGCACAGCAACGGGUGGAGCGUGCGGUUUAAUUGGAUUCAACGCCGGG
rnacentral:rRNA from 1 species